AAAACCGUGGGAAUAUAAUCUUAUUUAUACCUAGAAUAUGGCUGGGCGUUUCUACCUCGUACCGUAAAUGCGAGACAAUAAGGAAAUUCGAUUUUUCA
rnacentral:ncRNA from 2 species